GCCUAACACAUGCAAGUCGAACGGUAACAGGAAGAAGCUUGCUUCUUUGCUGACGAGUGGCGGACGGGUGAGUAAUGUCUGGGAAACUGCCUGAUGGAGGGGGAUAACUACUGGAAACGGUAGCUAAUACCGCAUAACGUCGCAAGACCAAAAAGGGGGACCUUCGGGCCUCUUGCCAUCGGAUGUGCCCAGAUGGGAUUAGCUAGUAGGUGGGGUAACGGCUCACCUAGGCGACGAUCCCUAGCUGGUCUGAGAGGAUGACCAGCCACACUGGAACUGAGACACGGUCCAGACUCCUACGGGAGGCAGCAGUGGGGAAUAUUGCACAAUGGGCGCAAGCCUGAUGCAGCCAUGCCGCGUGUAUGAAGAAGGCCUUCGGGUUGUAAAGUACUUUCAGCGGGGAGGAAGGGAGUAAAGUUAAUACCUUUGCUCAUUGACGUUACCCGCAGAAGAAGCACCGGCUAACUCCGUGCCAGCAGCCGCGGUAAUACGGAGGGUGCAAGCGUUAAUCGGAAUUACUGGGCGUAAAGCGCACGCAGGCGGUUUGUUAAGUCAGAUGUGAAAUCCCCGGGCUCAACCUGGGAACUGCAUCUGAUACUGGCAAGCUUGAGUCUCGUAGAGGGGGGUAGAAUUCCAGGUGUAGCGGUGAAAUGCGUAGAGAUCUGGAGGAAUACCGGUGG
rnacentral:rRNA from 1 species